rnacentral:rRNA from 1 species
ACCUACAGCCACACCAGGCUGAACACGCCCGAUCCUGUCUGAUCUCGGAAGCUAAGCAGUCCCAGGCCUGUGCAUCCAGUUCCUAUCCCCAAGCACUGAAAGACUGAGCUUAGGGUA